UCUUCACCCGGAAUCAUGUCAUAUCUCAUCAAUCUCAUCGGGGGAAGCUUCAUCUCGUUGAUAACCCUUUCCGUGCACUGGCGGCUCCAUCUAACGGAUAGCCCUCUCCUCCCGGAAUCAAACUAGCUAGGUGCACCUAGGCCGUUACCUCCGUUAACGGCUACGGGGUUCUAUCAAGGAUCCCCAAAAUCGUUUUCUCAAACCAGUUCAAGUCUCGUCAAAAGUCUCAUAAUCAACUUUCCAAGUUCACAAUCUCAGUUUCACAUAAUUUCCAAAAUCAAAGCAAUAUAAAUUACUUUCUCAUGUCAGUUCAUAAUCAGAAUCAAAUAAACUUCAUAAAAUCAGCUUUCAGAGUUCAAGAAUGAUAGUCAAACAUAUAAAAACAUGUUUCCCCAAUUUAGAUAAAUAGACAAUAUAAUAAAGUAAUUAAAUCAGUUAUAAGACUGUUAAAAAUAUGGCAUAGCAGUUGAAAACCACUCACAACUACGACGAAUCAACGCAAUUGAUUUCAACAGUCCCACGACCACUGAACGACCUACUCGUCGUUGAAUCUGAACACAAAAAUUAACUUCAAACCUUUAGCAUACUAGAGGUGUAUAAUUCUGCUUAAUUCUAACAUGCUAUAAUACUACUAUUUAAAUUGUAAGUUGUAGGUAUACCUCAAAGAAGCCAAAAUAAGCAAUCCUAAAAGGGUGGGUACUCUUUUCCUCUUUCAGAGCACAAACCCUAACUCUCAAAAUGUUAUCUCCAAAUCCCUUCUACUUGAAUACUGAAAUUCUCCUUAUGAGUGUGUAUUUUUAUUGUUGGAUUUUUGUGCAAAUUAUGUUUUGUGAAGAAGAAAAGAAGACGGAGGGAGAUAAGUGAGGAACUACGGCGUUGGUUCUUUUUGCACAGGGAAGAAUUAGAACGAGAGAGAGAGAAGGGUAUACAGUUCUGAAUUGGAUAAAAAUAUAAUGGGUGGAUGGUGGGUUUUAUUUGAAAUAGGAAUUGGGUGGUGGGAUUUUACGUGGUCUCUUUUUUUUUAAGUUUGUUAAUUAAUUUUUUUUCCUUUUUCUUUUCUUUUUUUUUUCUUUCGUUGAUGAACCUUUUUUUUUUAAUAAAGCGGAUCAUUUCAAUCUUUCCCCCUUAAGAAAAUUCGUCCUCGAAUUUUAAGUCUUGUGCAUCACACUACCUUGGUUUCAAAGUCAUCUCUUCACCAAUUGUUCAUUGCCAGGGUUCUACCAUUAAACCAAGGUCCUUAGAAUGUAGGCAUCUCACCCUUUCUAUCCACUAUUCCUACCAUAAACUCCAUAUAAGAUAAAGGUUCAUCUAACAAUACAUUCUCAUUACAAACAACGAGGGAAGGAUCAUAGAGAUAUUUCUAAAGCAUAUAAACAUGAAACUUGGUGAGCUGUAUAAAAUUCGGUAGCGGUGUCAAUCGACAAUUCAUAGGGCCAACUACUCCCAUAUAUCAAAUGACCCAAUCAAUCAUGGACUCAUUUUCCCUCUUUACCAAACUGCACCACUGCUUUUAUCAGAAAAACACUUAAAACAUAUGAACACCAACUGCAAACUCAAAAGGGUGUUGCCUCCAAUCAACAUAAUACUUUUGUUUACCUUGACCUGUACCCAAAUGACCUAAACUAGUCUAACUUUCUCUAUUGCAUCUUGGAUAGGGUAUGGACAUACAAGUUUAGUUUCUCCAUAUUCAACCAAUCUAUCGAUUGCUACAUCCCUUACUAUACAAAGCCUCAAAUUGUACAAUAUUAAUGCUAGGCUAAUAGUUGCUAUUAUAAGCCAACUUCGUUAAAGACAAAUUAUGCUCUCAACUCCUUCUAAAGUCUAAAAACACGAGCACAAAACAUAUCUUCCGAGAUCUAAAUAAUCCUCUUAAAUCAGCCAUCAAUUUAAGGAUAGAAAGUUGUACCCAAAUUCAAAUGGGACCCCACAACAACUUUGAAAGUCUUCUAAAACAAUGCAUUCAAUUAAGCUCCUUGAUCUCAAAUUAUAAACAAGCUUACACCAUGCAAACAAACAAUCUCAACUAAGGUAAACCAUACAAUGUUGUAGUGUAAGUACUUUUAUAGGCGAAAGUGUUCAUGCUCAACCAAUUAAUCCAUAAUCACCGAUACAAAAUCAUAACUCAUUAUUUUCCAAAGCAAACCUCUCACCAAGUUCGUAACAACACCUUCUCACUUUCCAUAUGGUAUCUUAAUAGACUAAAGCAACAUAACUCGCUUUAAAGGCUCAACCUUCACUUGCUAACAUGCUAAACAUUCAGAAAUCAAUUUUCUAUGUCUUUCGUCAUUCUUUCCCAUAAAUAAAAUUUCUUCAUAUCCUAAUGCAUUUUAUUAAAACCCGGAUGUAUGAUUUAAAAAUAAUGAAAAACAUCCUCUAUUAUUUUCCUCCUCAUACUAGUAUUAGGCUCACACAACACAACCAACAUCAAAGUCAUAAAAUGUCAUCGAGAGUCUACCUUUAAACGUGGAACCUUUUCACCUUAGAAAUCCUCUACCACCUUCAUCACCUACGAAUCUUGACCUUGAUCAUAUUCAACAUCAUCAACCAAAAUAGAAUGAAUUUUUAGAUGAGCCAACAAUGAGUUGAAACAAGCAACCCAAACCAAACUCUAUUAUCAACAAGCUUCUAGUGUUAUUCCUUAUCCUUAGGAAUAUACAAGAAUAAUCAAUAAGUACAAUCACUAAAUAUUUCAAUAAUGAUUUAAAGAUGUAGCUCAUUAAAUCCAUAUAACAACAGUGGCAUCACUAAAUCCAAAAACAUGACUAAUAUCUCGUUAUGGUCACAACAUAUUCUGAAAGUUUUCUAUUAAAUUCUAUCCUUCUUGAUAUUCCUUUGAUGGUACCUAGAUCACAAGUCCUAUUUUCUUUUCUAACUAUUGAGCUCAUGCAAUCUAUUCGCCUAUUGUCUAUUGAUGAGUACAUCAAGAAAUUCAUCACAAAGUCGCACACUACAAGAAUUUCUUCUAUUUUUUCUUUCCAGCUGUUUGAGUAUCCUUUUACCCAAAGUCAAGUAUCCAUGACAACCUUUCCUUAAUAACCUUCUAACUUCGCCGCUGAAAUUAGAUUGCAUUGUUCCUAACUUCACUCUCUCUAAAUGAGAAAGAUGACCCUCUAGGUAAUUCAAACUUCACUACUUUGUCCUUGACCUUAACCACCAAAUACUUUACUGCUCUUCUAAGAUACUUCAUGAUCUUCUCAUCACAUUUCCUUCAAAGCAUCUAAGGGUAUAAUAACAAGAUUAAUAAUAAGUAUUAAGUAAUAUUAAAACUUUAAAACAAUAAUACCAAUGUGUUUUUUUUUGUGUGUAUAUUAAACAACACAUGUCUUUCUCAAUAUUCCCCAAAACAACGCGAUAGAAAUAUUAAGCCAAGAGUCAAUUUCACUAACAUGCUGAAACUAAUCCAAGGUAAUUACGUUUUCUAUAAGAGACAAGGCAACUUUAUGCCAACUGAUCCAACAAAAAUUGUAACAAUGAUCUUACACCACACAUCCAAACUCCCAUUUUUUAUAAACUCACCAUCUUCCUUCAUUUGAAGUUUCAAAGCCAAUUCAAAUUAGACUAACCUGGUUACAGAACUUAUCUUGAUUCUAUUCCCGAAGAUUAUGAAUGCCCAAAGCAUCAUUCGUGUCACAACCAAUUCCUAAGGCCAACUGCCACCAAGUGUUGUAAGGGUCAGAGAAAAUGCUAAAGACGCUCCUACUAAGGCUUAUCCACGACUAGAGGAAGUUGCACCACAAUCACAAGACAAUCCUCCAUAAUAUUACUUGUCUGACUGCGCUAAUAUCACACCCUACUAUCUCCAAAGAAAGCUACAUGAUGAUCUUUUGACAAGCAAAACAAGGUGUAGAUCUCAUGCAAAAAUGAAUUUGAGGAAAAAUGGAUUGUAAGGACCCCUUAAAUCUAGUCUAUGACUCCACAUAAAGUUUUAAGAUUAUCUACUAUAAUCAAUUUUCUCCAGCAGUUCAAACUUAUAAGCCAAGUCAUAUCAAACAAUUUAGAAGAAAAAGAUUUAUGAGUUCUAGGAAAAUUCGUUCACGUUAUCAGAGGCGAUCCAAUCGCUCACGUACCAUAAAGUCAUUAGAUCAAUCAUGUGCUACAAUCCUCCAACUGGAUGACAUUAACUCUACCGCCCUUCAGUGUGAGCAUCUUAAUGCUCUCUAUAGCUUCUCCAGAGCAUUAAUAAACCUUUGUGGAUUCUGCUCUGCACUAGUACUAGAAAAUUAGGAGAUUUAAGAUGUAUGUGACUAGUUAAUAUGACAUCAAUCUGUCUAGUGGCACCUACUUGUUGGUACUUUCCUCUAUCUAACCUCUAGUUGACGCUCAUAAAUUUUCUUAUGUGGGUUCCCUUGUUGCUGCCCAACAACCAGUCCAACACGUUAUUUCAACUAAUGUUAAAAUUCCUUCGUACCGAAUGUAAGCUCUGACAUCCUUGUAUUUCAUUACCUCAAUAUAAGCACGUUAAUAUUGGCUACAACAACGAGCAACCAGCGCCUACCGGCAAUGGUCCUUGGCCUAAACCAAAACGCCGACCACAACCUCCUAAAAGAGGGUCCUAAUAAGUUAACUCAUCAUAUGAUGAAAAUUCUAAUUUAGGGGGCAUCCCCACUGAACAAAGAAUAUUCAUGAAAUAUAUGACAUGACUCAGAAUACAGUGAAUGAGGAACGAACUCAAAUCACACAUUGGAAACAACUUUAGGACGCUCAUGAGACGUUAAUAGCAUCUUGAAAGUAAGUUGUGCCGCGGUUCACAAUUUACUAGCAAGAUUCCAUUAUCAUCUCAUGUCUGCAGCUAUUAGGACCUACAGCCAAAGCUCUGAUACCAACUUUGUCACGACCCAAAAUCCUAAGCCGUGACCGGCGCACAGACUAACACCCUAGUCUGGCAAGCCUCAGGUAGCGUUUGGUGACGGAACGGAACAUGUCAGAACAGAACGGAACGGGACAGAACAAGAUGGAACAUGACAAUAAUGUUCUAUGUGUUGUGUUUGGUAACUCCAAGUCAAUAGAACAGAAUCAUGAUUUUAAUUACAUAUAUAACCCUGCAUAUUUAAUAUUUGAUUAAGGAAAACAAAUUGAACUCAAUUGAACAUUUAGCAUAGAAACCGUUUGUUAUUGCUUACUUCAUGAAAUAAUCACUUAUUUCUUUAAAAUAAUCACUUAUAUAUUGUUUAAGUUGUUUCAGUAUGCUAUUGAAAAAAGCAGAAAUCUAAUUAUCUAUUUAAGCUAUUUUAAGUGCGUUUAUUUAGAUUAAAAAUAUUGAUUUUUAACUAUAAUUUUUUUAAGAGAUUUUGAGAAAAGCAUAAGUUGAUUCGUGUUCGACUACUCUAAUUAAAAUCACUUUUUUUUUACUCCCCUCAUCUAUCAUCAUAGAUUUUCAUUAUAAGCUAAAGUAACUGUUUCAAAUAAUUUGUUUUCAGCUUCAGCUGAAACAAACACAAAAAGUGAUUUUUCCAAAAUAAGUUGAAUUAAACGCAUUCUAAUUGACUCGUUUAUCAGUGCUUACAAAAACUGAUUUUACUUUUGAAAAAAUAAUUGAUUUUAUUUUAAUUAAGUUGAUUCGUGUUUGAUUACUCUAAUUAAAAUCACUUUUUUUUUAUCUCCUCUCAUCUAUCAUCAUAGGUUUUCAUGAUAAGCUAAAGUAACUGUUUCAAAUAAUUUGUUUUCAGCUUCAACUGAAACAAACACAAAAAGUGAUGUUUGAUUAAAAAUUGAUUUUUUGAUUUUAAAAGUGAUUUUUUGAUUAAAAAAGUGAUUUUUUUAUUUUAAAAGUGAUUUUUUGAUUAAAAAGUGAUUUUUCCAAAAUAAGUUGAAUCAAACGCACUCUAAUUGCCUCGUUUAUCAUUGCUUACAAAAAGUGAUUUUACUUUUGAAAAAAAUAAUUGAUUUUAUUUUAAGUGAUUUUUUUGAAAAAGUAGAUUUUUAUUUAACUUUGUCUACAAAUAUAAUAAGUGCUUUCAAUUUUAUAAGUGAUUUUAAACUGUUUAGAUACAUAAAAUUUCAAAUAUAAAUUAGGGGUAUUUUUGAACUUGCAAAAGUUUUAAGAGAGUGUUCCGUUCCGUUCUCUUCCGUUCCACCCUUUUUCAGGGAACCAAAGUGUCCCGUUCCUGGAGCCUUUUGUCCCGUUCCGUUCCAUCUUAAAAACACGACAAACACAGAACGGAACCCAUGUGUUCUGUUCCGUUCCCUUCCCACCUGUCUACCAAACGCUACCUCAAUCUCACAAAAUCAUAUUCCAAACUAUUUUCCAAAAUUAUACAUGUUUCUUUAUAUUUUAUAAUAUUUCAACAGAACCUCCUUUACAAAAUCAACAUUUCCAAAACAAUAAACCUGUCAUUCGGUUUUCAUCAUAACCAUAAUUCCAUAAAAACACAAAUUCCAAUUUCAUCACUACGGUACAAUUUCUGAAGUAAAAUAAUAAAUAAUGAUUCAGAAUCAAUCCACCUAAGACUCCCUAUAGCUGCAGAUAACUAGAAUCUAAUAGAAGACACCAAUUGAGCCACCAGCCAAAGGAGGCAUACCAAUAAAAUAAUCGAUCGACUUGAUUCUGACAUGAGCCUGCUACUUAGUGGCCUGAGAAUCUGUGGGGGAAAAAGAAUGAAUGGGGUAAGUCACAAAGACUUAGUGAGCAGUCAACAACCACCAUAAACAGGAAGGGGAAACAAACUAGGCACGAGUUUUUCGCUCUCAGCUCAAUAUAAACAAUUUAUAUCAUCAAUAAUACCAGUUUAAAUCAUUUCCACAAUGAACUUGACAAAAAAUCAUAAAUUCAUAAAUAACCAUUUCAAAUAAAUACAGUUAAAAUCAUGUCCAGAUAUGAAAAGCAUAAAACCAGAAAUAACUUUAAUAGGGUCACACAUGUAGAACCAUGAGGCGGCUCCAUCUCGCUGAUAGCCCUCUCCUCCUAAGGGAUGGCCUCUCCGAUAGGGGCGGCUCCAUCUAGCGGAUAACCCUUUCCUUUCUCAAGUCACAUCGUGUCAUCGGAGGAAGCUACAUCUCGUUGAUAGCCCUUUCCUCUUAAGGAUCAUCUUACCCAAGAGGCGGCUCCAUCUAACGGAUAGCCCUCUCCACCCGGAAUCAUGUCAUAUCUCAUCAAUCUCAUCGGGGGAAGCUUCAUCUCGUUGAUAGCCCUUUCCGUGCACUGACGGCUCCAUCUAACGGAUAGCCCUCUCCUCCCGGAAUCAAACUAGCUAGGUGCACCUAGGCCGUUACCUCCGUUAACGGCUACGGGGUUCUAUCAAGGAUCCCCAAAAUCGUUUUCUCAAACCAGUUCAAGUCUCGUCAAAAGUCUCAUAAUCAACUUUCCAAGUUCACAAUCUCAGUUUCACAUAAUUUCCAAAAUCAAAGCAAUAUAAAUUACUUUCUCAUGUCAGUUCAUAAUCAGAAUCAAAUAAACUUCAUAAAAUCAGCUUUCAGAGUUCAAGAAUGAUAGUCAAACAUAUAAAAACAUGUUUCCCCAAUUUAGAUAAAUAGACAAUAUAAUAAAGUAAUUAAAUCAGUUAUAUGACUGUUAAAAAUAUGGCAUAGCAGUUGAAAACCACUCAC
rnacentral:lncRNA from 1 species